GUGAAUCAUCGAAUUUUUGAACGCAAAUUGCACUCUCCUCGGAGAGUAUGCCUGUUUGAGGGUCAGCCUAUAAAAAAUCUACAUCGUUUCUGUUUCGCGGUGGCGUUCGUCGGAAAUUGGGUCAUCUUCACUCCUUUUGCUUUAAGCGACUUAACAUUUUCUUUUGGUUCCAUGAACGUUUCUAAGCUCUCUUUCUUUACACGUUUAAGGUCUCGAUUUUUACUAGACGUGACCAUCAUCUCUGAUCGCGUCCAUACUCUUUCCUUAACUUACCUCCUACAGUUCAGACUCCCCGCU
rnacentral:misc_RNA from 1 species